CACCGGUUGGUGCGUGGCAUCUCUAUGAGGGAAGCAAUCAUUGACAUUUCGUUUGACUAUGGCGAUGCGCAUCGACGUGGUUGGUAUUUUUGGUAAAACACUGGUAAGACUUCCUGUGGAUGGCGGAGAGGCGAGGUAGAAGCAAUGUGGUCAGGGCAUGGAUUAAAUUAGUCAAAAGUUUUCAAAAUUUCAUAGUAAGCAUGUUUUAUUUAAAAUAAUGGAAUAUUGUAGCGAGGCAAGAACCUAUUACGUAUCUGAAUACCUUAUAUUUGGGCACCCCCCAACCGACGACCCAGGCCGGAAAACAUGCGAAAAAAUGGUAAAAAUUAA